GACGAACGCUGGCGGCGUGCUUAACACAUGCAAGUCGAACGGAAAGGCCCUGCUUUUGUGGGGUGCUCGAGUGGCGAACGGGUGAGUAACACGUGAGUAACCUGCCCUUGACUUUGGGAUAACUUCAGGAAACUGGGGCUAAUGCCGGAUAGGAGCUCCUGCUGCAUGGUGGGGUUGGAAAGUUUCGGCGGUUGGGGAUGGACUCGCGGCUUAUCAGCUUGUUGGUGGGGUAGUGGCUUACCAAGGCUUUGACGGGUAGCCGGCCUGAGAGGGUGACCGGCCACAUUGGGACUGAGAUACGGCCCAGACUCCUACGGGAGGCAGCAGUGGGGAAUAUUGCACAAUGGGCGGAAGCCUGAUGCAGCAACGCCGCGUGCGGGAUGACGGCCUUCGGGUUGUAAACCGCUUUCGCCUGUGACGAAGCGUGAGUGACGGUAAUGGGUAAAGAAGCACCGGCUAACUACGUG
rnacentral:rRNA from 1 species